CCCGCGGUCCAUACGUCUGAUUUUAUUAUUUGGGAGCGGAUCAAAUCGGCGGCUCGAGCGGCGGUGGCGGCGGCUCGAGCUUGCAGGGGCUGGGGGCAGAUCCGGAGGCGGGGGUCGCCGGUGACGACGAGGAAGGCGGAGCACGGGCGGAUCCAUGGCGUCCGCGGCUCCUGGGCAGAAAGGAGACAGGGAGGCCAGGGAGAGAAGAAGGAAGAAAGGAGGGGUUGUGCGGCGACCUAGCGAGGAGCUCGCCGGAGCUGGGCGAAGGCGGACUGGCGCGGGAGACGGAGGGGUCCGGCGCGGCGGCGCGAAGUCCUUGCAGGUGGAGGCAGGCGUCGAAGCAGAGGACGAGAGGAUCCCCUGAUCCAUCCCCUCCUACCCAUCCAGCCCUUCCUCGAUGGCCCGCGUGCGACGAGCCCCUACGCGGGGUAAGAAGGGGGAUCACGCGAGGUGGAGCACUCCAGCCCCCUCCUAGCCCUACCAUGAAAUUUGUUGAAGCUAAAGAUGAAGAGGAACUCGUGGAAGAGGAAAAGAAAUGCCAUGGUAGAAAUUCAUUCACACAUAUCAGGGUCAUAGUGAGAGGAUUGAUCUGCUUGAUUCGCUCCUGAUGGUCGGUGGAUUGUUUCUGGUAAGACUAAGAGUUCUGUGAAGGUAAGAUUUUGAUCCAACCUAUUAAGCAGUACCACACAAAUUACAGGAGAAUCUGUUGUUUGGUCCAACCUAUAAAGGUGCCAUAUAUGCUCAGUUGCUCACAACAGUGCUAAUAUUAACAAGGUGAAUAAACUCACGCUCUAGCGGAAGAUAUCCUUUAUAUUUUUGGGGUCACUGAUACCUGUACAAAAACAUAAGAUGUGUUCCUAGAUAACAUCUUUCCUCUAAAAUAAUUUAUAUAUCAUCUAGACUUGGUUAGUUGUAACUUUUGCUUUCUGUUCUUUCCACAAGCUUUUGUAGGUUCAAAUGACAAUUGUUAAAUUUUGGGACCUUAAGACUUUUUAGUUGAUUGCAUCCUCUAGACCGGGAGGUAUAAUAGCAUAUCCUAAUUGUCUAAUUGAUGAUUCAGAAAGCUCUGGCUCUACUCAUGUAUAUCAGUUUAUAUUCAAAUUGUGAAGUACUCCUUCUAUAAAGAAAUAUAAGAGAGUUUAGUUCUAUAAAACAUAUUUAUAUGCAGUUAUCCAACAAAUUUAUGUCCUAAAAUCUUACAACUUCUCUUAAGCUGUUUUUUUGCAGGAAAACUAUAUUUGAUCAUAACCUUGGCUUAAAUGCAAUUUAAUUUCAACCUCAAAUUUGGUGAUUUUUUAAUGGGCACAACUGUGUCGGUAGAGGACUAGAGGUUGACAGUUAUGAAUUUUGUGAUAAUCUUCGGUUAUACUGUUAUAUAUAGCACUUUCCAGGUUAUAUGGUUCACAUUCUCUGAGCCAAUUCACAAUGACCAUUCCAGAUUUGGGCCUUGCGUUUUUAAAUUAUUUUGUAACAUUUUGGUUGAUCUUUGAUGCUGCUCCUUAAUUUUUUACAUUGACUGGUGUAGAACUAAAUGAGUGUUGACAUUCAAGGGAAGCCCCAAGCUUUUAAACAGUAUAUGAAUGUUGUUAGCUCGGUCCUUCACAAAUAAGUCCCUUGAUGUGUGUCAUCUCUCAUUGCAUAUAACAUCUGGUCUUUCUAUUUUUCAUUGAUUUUUCUUCUCCCGGUGCACUGAAUCUGCAAGGGCGUGUAGACGGCAGGAUGAGCAGCAGUGCCGGUGGUAAGACAGGGCGUGUAGACGGUAGGAUGAGCAGCAGCAUGCCAGUGGUAAGACAGGGCGUGUUGGCAUACGCGAAGCAGCCAUGCAUGAAUCUUGGCGGCAGAUGCUUGCUGGCCGUAGUGGCAGCACCAAUUCAAGCUGGGAGGCGGGAAGCUGGAGUAGCAGGAACGAUUGGUCGUCCAUUAGGCAUGAACCCAACUCCACUGUACUCCCUUUUCUUUCCGUAACCAAUUCUUUGGAGCAGACAUGUGGGUACAGGUACAUAGCCUGGAGAUUGUUUGCUUUUUUUGGUUAGUUCAGAUUUAGAUUUCUCAGAUAUUCACUAUUUGAUCAAUCGAUCCAUGUAGAUCUCAUUGACAUGGUUUGUGGAAUGUACCUUUCAGCAUUUACCCUGAUUAGUUAAAUCCCUAGCUGGUGAUAAGAGGAAGAGGAUGAUGAGGAAAGCAUGGAGUUAAGUGAAUCAGUACAGGAAGAAAGGCCGUUCAGAAAAAAAUAGUAGAGGAAGAAAGGGAGGAGCAGCAGUCAAGGUUGGGCUUGGUGGCCUCGACGCCUAUGACCUCCUCUAUGCCAAGCCUCGCAUCACCCAGUUAUUAUGUUAUCUACUCCCUCCGUUCCGAAUUACUCGUCGCAGAAAUGGAUGUAUCUAAAUGUAUUUUAGUUCUAGAUACGUCCAUUUCUGCGACGAGUAAUUUGGAACGGAGGGAGUACUUCCAUGGAUUUACUGGCGUAUAGAAAUAUGACUAUCUGAUGUACUCGUAUGACUUAGCUGAGUUCCCUCUUUAUGUAACAAGGCUCUCUUUUAAA